ACAAAUCAAAACAACAAUUAAAUCAAAGCCCAUAUAAUUAAAAUCGGAGGCCCAAUCAGUAAUUAAAAUCGGCCAUUUAAAUAAAAUCAGAGGCCCAAUAUUAAUAAAUAAGCCAGCCCAACUCAAGCCCACUAAAAAUAAAUCAACAAGGCCCAAAGAAUUUAAUAAAUAAGCCCAAUUAAAAUAAAGAGCCCAAUUUAACAUAAAUGAAAGAAGCCCAAUUUAAAAAAAUAGUAGCCCAUCUCCACAUAACUCUCGGUUCUCUCUCUCUGUAAAACCAAUCUCGCCUUUCUCUCUAUUU
rnacentral:lncRNA from 1 species